rnacentral:rRNA from 1 species
UACAGAGGUCCCAAGCGUUGUUCGGAUUCACUGGGCGUAAAGGGUGCGCAGGCGGCUGUGUGUGUCAGGUGUGAAAGCCCGGGGCUUAACCCCGGAAUUGCGCCUGAAACUACAUGACUAGAGCAUUGGAGAGGGUAGCGGAAUUCACGGUGUAGCAGUGAAAUGCGUAGAUAUCGUGAGGAACACCGGAGGCGAAGGCGGCUACCUGGACAAUUGCUGACGCUCAGGCACGAAAGCGUGGGGAGCAAAAGGG